UACGAAGGGGGCUAGCGUUGUUCGGAAUCACUGGGCGUAAAGCGCACGUAGGCGGAUCUUUAAGUCAGAGGUGAAAUCCCAAGGCUCAACCUUGGAACUGCCUUUGAUACUGGGGAUCUUGAGUCCGGGAGAGGUGAGUGGAACUGCGAGUGUAGAGGUGAAAAUUCGUAGAUAUUCGCAAGAACACCAGUGGCGAAGGCGGCUCACUGGCCCGGUACGUGACGCUGAGGUGCGGAAAGCGUGGGGAGCAAACAGGG
rnacentral:rRNA from 1 species